UACGGAGGGGGCUAGCGUUGUUCGGAAUUACUGGGCGUAAAGCGCGCGUAGGCGGCUUUGUAAGUUAGAGGUGAAAGCCCGGAGCUCAACUUCGGAAUUGCCUUUAAGACUGCAUCGCUCGAAUCCGGGAGAGGUGAGUGGAAUUCCGAGUGUAGAGGUGAAAUUCGUAGAUAUUCGGAAGAACACCAGUGGCGAAGGCGGCUCACUGGACCGGUAUUGACGCUGAGGUGCGAAAGCCAGGGGAGCAAACGGG
rnacentral:rRNA from 1 species